ensembl:lincRNA
CAACAAUGGGGCUGUUGUCCUUCCAAGCGCUCAGCGAUGGCGAGCUCCUUACAGCUUGUUUUAUGCAAAACGAAUGGCAGAAGGAAGCGGCCCGGAGCACGCACACAUGGAGUUCACCAAGGUUACACAGCCGAGGAGCAACAGGGUCAGGACUUGGAACCAGAGCGUGCGCUCCUUACCACCGCGCUGCACUCACCCUCUGUCUCUGUCUCCAGGGUGGAUGAGACACAGCCGUGGCCCUCCAGGGGCACGGAGCCUCAGAAGCAAACAGAGAAGGUGGCUCACGCCCUGGGGUCGACCCCCUUCCCGGAUCCCCACUGGUGCACAACCCUGUGGACAGAGUGUGCUGGCGACAUUAGGAGCCACAGCGUGGGCUGGCUAGGACCAAGUUUCCAGAAGAGACACAAAACAGAGGCUGCCCUUGUCCCCCUCUCUGUGAUCCGUGAGUGGAGCCCCCGAAUCCCAGCACCAGACCGGAGGGGCGGGGGCCAGGGGGGCGAGUGUGCGCUGAGACCUGCUGCCUACCAGGUUUCCAUAUACAUAAUCUAAAUAUAUGCUUUGCAAAUUGAAAAGCGUUCACGUAUAGAAUGUGGCUGUGGGGAGCGAAUGCUCUCUUUGAACGUGUCUCUUUAAAGGCAGAAUUUGCCAAGUGUUUUCCUGCCCUGAAGGAGCCACUUGAACAUGGCCGCAGAUGUAAAAUGGAAAUUGAAGUGUCUCUCCAGGCCACCGUACAGGGAUAAGACAGGCGCAGGCUAUUCUAAGCGCUCAUUAAUAGCAGGUCUCCGAGGGCCCGGCAGCAGCCAGAGGAUUGUACUCAUUAAAAAGGUGACGAGGUAGAGUUUUGUGCCUUCCAUGCUUGUCACUGUGGGAUCCUGGUGUUCAGAUGUCGCCAGCGGACCCCAGAGGGGUGCCCCCGGCUUGCUGGCAUGGGCGACUAUUUUCUGAAGGGUUUGAAAGCGUCUCCCACUCGUGGAUGGGGCGAGCAGCCCUUGGUGUUUGUCAAGUGGGUUUGUCUCUCUUCCGAGGCAGGGCCUGGAUGGCGUUAUCUCGAGACAGAAGCAGAGAGAGCUUUAGCUCAUUGGCUAAUGAAAGAUCAUUGGGGAUUCCCAACACGGUCCUUUAGAUGGCAUAGUAAAGGGCCUAGAGCCUCCAGUGUGGUCUGGGCUGGGGGCUUGGGGUCUUCAGCAAAGUCUGGAAGGGACAGGACCCUUAUAACUGAAGGGACUGGCCGAUGGUUUCCUGGGAGUCCCAAAUCCCAGCAGUGUCCCCUUGCCCAAGGCCACUGCUUUGUUUUAGAAGAAGGGGAUUCUUGGCUCAACCUUUUUUUUUUUUUUUUAAGAUUUUAUUUACUUAUUUGACAGAGAUCACAGGUAGGCAGAGAGGAAGGGAAGAAGGCUCCCUGCUGAGCAGAGAGCCCCAUGUGGGGCUCGAUCCCAGAAUCCUGGGAUCACGACCUGAGCCAAAGGCAGAGGCUUUGACCCACUGCGGCUCAACCUUCUUUCUCUUGUCCGUCGGUUCCCUCCGCUUAGCAGUGUGUUUGACCGGAAAGGCACUUGAUUUAUUGAAUGAGCCAACAAAGGAAUGCAUGAGGGGCUCUCUGGUCCCAAAGACUGGCCCUUGGUCCCUUCUCAAAGUGCAGCCCUUUGGGGAUUUUUUUCACUUGUGACCUUUAGUAGCUUCCGGGCUGUGGCCUUCACCUUGAAGUUAGGGUCACCACAAGGGCACAGAUCUGAGGAAAUGAAGACAAGAAGAUGAUCAUGGCCUCAAGCUCCUAUAUGGAGUGUUUUCUCUUCUUUGUUUUUAUGACAUGGUAUCAAUACUGUGUUGAGAACUAGGUUUAUUUUUACCCUUCAUUAGCAGGUAGAAAAUGACUGUGUUACUUAUGAAAUGUUCACAAUAACCUGGGUUUAAAUUAAACUACACUUCAAAAAUUAUAAAGCUCAAUAUUAAUAAAAUGGGUUCAGGGUUGGAGGGGUGGGGAGAUAGGGAGAACAUUCUGCAAUUUUUUUUUAAUGCAAAAGAAAGACACUUGGCUCACCUCUGAGAGAACUUGAGUUGCCCUACAGAGGUUCGUCUCUCACAAUUUCAAGAGCCGACGAGAAGUCCCAGGGAGAGAGAAAUAUGGCAGCAAAAUCCAUUCACCUGAAGACAUACUACGCAGCACAUCCCUGGGAGGGCCUGGAAGGUUGUGUGCUAUACCCUUGGCUCUGAGUUUCUGAGAAGCCAAGGCAAAGAGGGCAGGAAAAGCAGUGAUGAGGUUUUUAGGAGGUUCAAGGCCUUGGGCUUUGGAGGGAAGAAAACCAAGAGGGAAGAGUGAGCAUAAUCUUGAUCCUUUUUUUUUUGGAAAAUAAUUUUGAAUAACUCCUUAAAAGACCAAAAACCUGUCACUCAUGGUCUCAGGGUACCCAUCCUCUUGCUGAAAUAUCCCUCCCCAAUUACUUGGAACUGCCUAGUGGGUGUGUCAUGGUGUUCUGAUGGCCCAGGAGUACUGCUGCUCAAAGUCAGCCCAGGCAUCUGUCUGCAGACCUAUCAUUAGGGCACCCCUUCCUGGGAAGAGCAUCUGAUUAUGCCUCGGGGUGAUGAAGGGCCCACGAGCAGGCUGCGGUCAGGGUGAGGGAGGGCCUCGAGCUGAGGCCCUGCAAUUGGGUGGGGUUGGAGGGUGAGGGUCUGGGGGGAUGCUGAGGACAGGUGCACCUGAUUUCACAAGCACAGUGGGUUGGACGCUGUGGCUGGUUGGUGGGAGGCCAAUCCAGUUAUGGCAUUACUGAGCCAUGCUCGGAUGUGACCUUGGUGUCUCCUACACAUCAGGUACCUCGAAGUGUGAGUGGACCACAGAGUUCCGAGAAUCUCUAGAUUACUCUGGCAAGAGGAUCAAAGUCUUCUUUGUGUUAUUUGACCUGAUAUGACAUUCAUCACAAGUCUCUCAAAUGAGGAAAUGAAUUAAUGAUUGAAUAAGUGAGUGCCAUGACUACUACCAUGGUUCAAAUGCCAUCCUUGCUUCAGCUGCUGUUCAAGGUCACUUCCUCCAGGAAGCCCUCCCUGCAUUCUCCUGCCCUUUCUUAUCAAGACUCUUACAGCACUGGAUGUGUGACCAAAGUGUGAAUGCCUUCCUAGCUGCUAACAAUUGGAAGGUCUUUUUGUGUUUUCUUGUGGUUCCUCAUUCUAGCCAGACAACAAACACAUUUCUUCAACAUGUACUCAUUCAGCUCUUAUCAUUGGCCCCACUCUGUGCUGGACCCAAGGAAUUCAAGAGGAAAGUGAACAGAUAAGGAGCUUAUAGUCUAGUGUUGGAGCUGGCAAACCCUAGCCCCUCAGCUGGACUGAGCCCAACUGCCAUCUGUUUUUGUAAAUAAAGUUUUAUUGGUACACAGCCAUCUCCUUUUGUUCACAUGUGGACACAUGUUCACAUGUGUUUGGCUGCUUUUUGAGUUUCAGGGACGGAAUGGAGUUCAGUGACAGAGACCACGUGGCCUGCCAAGCCCAAGAUAUUUGCUCUCCGGACCUUUACAGAAAGAUUUGCUGCUGCCAGUGCUAAUGAGAAAGACAACCUAGAAAAAGAUCAUUCCAGCAUGGUAUGUGAGAGGCAAGGACAGGGUACUAUGGCUGAGCCCGGCAGGCCUGGGGUUGCAUGUGUUACUGCAGAUAGGGCAGCUGGGAAAGCUGCUCUCGUGGAAAUGUUACGUGAGCUGAGACACGAAGGCUGAGGAGGCUGCUCUGUGAGUUGCUAGGAUAGAACAUUCCCGGGGGAGGGAAGAACAUGUGCUAAAGGCCUUUGAUGUGUUGUAGGAACGGACGGAAGCUUGUGUGGCCGGGAAUGCAGUGGACAAGGAGAGAGUAG